UACGGGGGGGGCAAGCGUUGUUCGGAAUUACUGGGCGUAAAGGGCUCGUAGGCGGCCAACUAAGUCGGAUGUGAAAUCCCCAGGCUUAACCUGGGAACUGCAUCCGAUACUGGAUGGCUUGAAUCCGGGAGAGGGAUGCAGAAUUCCAGGUGUAGCGGUGAAAUGCGUAGAUAUCUGGAGGAAUACCGGUGGCGAAGGCGGCAUCCUGGACCGGCAUUGACGCUGAGUGAGCGAAAGCUAGGGGAGCAACCGGG
rnacentral:rRNA from 1 species